GUCUGUACCAAGAUAACUGUCUUUAAAAGUUACUGGAUUUUCUACCAAAAAGAAAUAUUCUGUUGGUUUUUGACAAAGGUAAAGUUUAGACCUUCUGAUGUCAUCUAGACUUUUAUACUGUUAGAAACAGCCGUUCUAACAUUUCUGCAAGUUCUCCCAUGCAACUGAGGAUUUUUUUUCUCAUCCAAAUAUAGGAAGGUCAUACAAAAGACCUGAGUUACGCAAAGAUACCUUCUUAUACUGACAGUAGCUAGAAUGGAGUGAAUGAAGCACCUGUGUGAAGUCCACCUGGUUCUCACAGCCUUUCCAGUUUAUUACAGCUGUAUGAACUCCUCAUGUUGACCGAGUAUGUACAAACAAGCAUGUAGACAUAUAUUAUCCUUCAGCUGAUUUGAAUAACUUCGGCUCACGAAUAAGUAUCUCAGCAGCUCUCGGUAAGUAAUAAAAACAGAGGAAGUUUCUUAUUACA
rnacentral:lncRNA from 1 species